AACGAACGCUGGCGGCAUGCCUAACACAUGCAAGUCGAACGAACCCUUCGGGGUUAGUGGCGCACGGGUGCGUAACGCGUGGGGAUCUGCCCUUUGCUUCGGAAUAACAGUUAGAAAUGACUGCUAAUACCGGAUGAUGUCGAAAGACCAAAGAUUUAUCGGCAAAGGAUGAACCCGCGUAGGAUUAGCUAGUUGGUAGGGUAAAGGCCUACCAAGGCGACGAUCCUUAGCUGGUCUGAGAGGAUGAUCAGCCACACUGGGACUGAGACACGGCCCAGACUCCUACGGGAGGCAGCAGUGGGGAAUAUUGGACAAUGGGCGAAAGCCUGAUCCAGCAAUGCCGCGUGAGUGAUGAAGGCCUCGG
rnacentral:rRNA from 1 species